ACGUGAUCUGAGUUCAGACCGGAGCAAUCCAGGUCGGUUUCUAUCUAUAAAGGGCUUUUUCUAGUACGAAAGGACCGAAAAAGCACGGCCCAUGCUUAAAGUACGCCGCACCCACAAUUUAUGACUCAAACUUAAUAAACAAUUGACCUCCAACUUUAUUCUAAACAAGAAUG
rnacentral:rRNA from 1 species